GGUAACCUACCCUGUACACACGGAUAACAUACCGAAAGGUAUGCUAAUACGGGAUAAUAUAUUUGAGAGGCAUCUCUUGAAUAUCAAAGGUGAGCCAGUACAGGAUGGACCCGCGUCUGAUUAGCUAGUUGGUAAGGUAAAGGCUUACCGAGGCGACGAUCAGUAGCCGACCUGAGAGGGUGAUCGGCCACAUUGGAACUGAGACACGGUCCAAACUCCUACGGGAGGCAGCAGUGGGGAAUAUUGCACAAUGGGCGAAAGCCUGAUGCAGCAACGCCGCGUGAGUGAUGAAGGCCUUCGGGUCGUAAAACUCUGUCCUCAAGGAAGAUAAUGACGGUACUUGAGGAGGAAGCCCCGGCUAACUACGUGCCAGCAGCCGCGGUAAUACGUAGGGGGCUAGCGUUAUCCGGAUUUACUGGGCGUAAAGGGUGCGUAGGCGGUCUUUCAAGUCAGGAGUGAAAGGCUACGGCUCAACCGUAGUAAGCUCUUGAAACUGGGAGACUUGAGUGCAGGAGAGGAGAGUGGAAUUCCUAGUGUAGCGGUGAAAUGCGUAGAUAUUAGGAGGAACACCAGUUGCGAAGGCGGCUCUCUGGACUGUAACUGACGCUGAGGCACGAAAGCGUGGGGAGCAAACAGGAUUAGAUACCCUGGUAGUCCACGCUGUAAAC
rnacentral:rRNA from 1 species